rnacentral:rRNA from 1 species
GGCCUCAAAUCAGACAAGAGUACCCGCUGAACUUAAGCAUAUCAAUAAGCGGAGGAAAAGAAACUAACAAGGAUUCCCCUAGUAACGGCGAGUGAAGCGGGAACAGCUCAAAUUUUAAAUCUGGCUGCUUUGUAGUCCGAGUUGUAAUUUGAAGGAGUCUUGCCGCUGGCAAAACGAUGGCACAAGUCCUCUGGAACGGGGCAUCGUAGAGGGUGAGAAUCCCGUCUCUGGUCAUCACGCGCUGGCAUACGGCAGGCAUCCGAAGAGUCGAGUUGUUUGGGAUUGCAGCUCCAAAUGGGUGGUAAACUCCAUCUAAGGCUAAAUAUUGGCGAGAGACCGAUAGCGAACAAGUACCUUGAGGGAAAGAUGAAAAGAACUUUGAAAAGAGAGUAAAACAGUACGUGAAAUUGUUGAAAGGGAAACGAUUGAAG